rnacentral:rRNA from 1 species
UACGUAGGGGGCAAGCGUUGUCCGGAUUUACUGGGCGUAAAGAGCGCGCAGGCGGUCGUUCAAGUCGCGUGUGAAAGCCCCCGGCUCAACUGGGGAGGGUCACGCGAUACUGAUCGACUCGAAGGCAGGAGAGGGUAGUGGAAUUCCCGGUGUAGUGGUGAAAUGCGUAGAUAUCGGGAGGAACACCAGUGGCGAAGGCGGCUUACUGGUCCGGUUCUGACGCUGGGGCGCGAAAGCGUGGGGAGCAAACAGG